CGGCGUGCCUAAUACAUGCAAGUCGAGCGGAAUGAUGAAGAAGCUUGCUUCUUCUGAUUUUAGCGGCGGACGGGUGAGUAACACGUGGGCAACCUACCUUGUAGAUUGGGAUAACUCCGGGAAACCGGGGGCUAAUACCGAAUAAUCCAUUUUGCUUCAUGGCGAGAUGUUGAAAGACGGUUUCGGCUGUCACUAUAAGAUGGGCCCGCGGCGCAUUAGCUAGUUGGUAGGGUAAUGGCCUACCAAGGCGACGAUGCGUAGCCGACCUGAGAGGGUGAUCGGCCACACUGGGACUGAGACACGGCCCAGACUCCUACGGGAGGCAGCAGUAGGGAAUCUUCCACAAUGGACGAAAGUCUGAUGGAGCAACGCCGCGUGAGUGAAGAAGGUUUUCGGAUCGUAAAACUCUGUUGUAAGGGAAGAACACGUACGAGAGUAACUGCUCGUACCUUGACGGUACCUUAUUAGAAAGCCACGGCUAACUACGUG
rnacentral:rRNA from 1 species